UACGUAGGCAGCAAGCGUUGUUCGGAGUUACUGGGCGUAAAGGGUGCGUAGGCGGCUUUUUAAGUUUGGUGUGAAAUCUCCCGGCUCAACUGGGAGGGUGCGCCGAAUACUGAGAGGCUAGAGUGUGGGAGAGGAAAGUGGAAUUCCUGGUGUAGCAGUGAAAUGCGUAGAUAUCAGGAGGAAUACCGGUGGCGAAGGCGGGUCUCUGGGCCGAUACUGACGCUGAGGAGCGAAAGCGUGGGGAGCGAACAGG
rnacentral:rRNA from 1 species